GAUGAACGCUGGCGGCGUGCCUAAUACAUGCAAGUCGAGCGAACAGACGAGGAGCUUGCUCCUCUGACGUUAGCGGCAGACGGGUGAGUAACACGUGGAUAACCUACCUAUAAGACUGGGAUAACUUCGGGAAACCGGAGCUAAUACCGGAUAAUAUAUUGAACCGCAUGGUUCAAUAGUGAAAGACGGUUUUGCUGUCACUUAUAGAUGGAUCCGCGCCGCAUUAGCUAGUUGGUAAGGUAACGGCUUACCAAGGCAACGAUGCGUAGCCGACCUGCGAGUGUCAUCGGCCACACUGGAACUGCGACACGGUCCAGACUCCUACGGGAGGCAGCAGUAGGGAAUCUUCCGCAAUGGGCGAAAGCCUGACGGAGCAACGCCGCGUGCGUGAUGCAGGUCUUAGGAUCGUAAAACUCUGUUAUUAGGGAAGAACAAAUGUGUAAGUAACUAUGCACGUCUUGACGGUACCUAAUCAGAAAGCCACGGCUAACUACGUGCCAGCAGCCGCCGCGG
rnacentral:rRNA from 1 species